AUUAAUAAAGAAUAUUAGAAAGAAAAAAAGAAACAGCAAUAUUAAUAUUUUGCUGAUCAGUGAACAUGAUGUUAGAAAUCGUCAGGCAUUGGUCCUAAUUACGAUCGCAUACAUAAUAUGCGUAAGAUACAUGAUUUACCUCAAACAAGAUGAUGCUGACCGAAAUAUCGUGGGAAACUUUCUCAUAAUCUUGCAUUGUUGUGAGUCACGCAUGAAACUCAUAAUCAUUCACUAUUUAUGUACGUUAAAUAACUAAAAUGAAUAAUGACAUGUAACAUAAAUUACGAUAUGAAAUAAAACUAAUUCCCUAAUACAAACUACAGAGAUGAAGACAGCAACAAA